AGCUUGUGAUGAUUAUUCAACAUUUCUGACACCUCGAAUGAGCUACACAAGUAGCGUCUUGAUUCCAAAGCACAAAUCUGAAGCUC